UCAUUUCCCUUUUCUUUUCCUCUCUCCUCCUAGCUUUCUUCAGCGAAGAUACCACAUGUCUCUCCCUCUCUCUCUCUCUAGCAAUAUUUCUCCGUUAACCAUCCUCUCAAUACAUAAAAAAACAUUAUUUUGUUUUCAAAAUCACCAUUGUACGUCUUUUUGUAGAAAGAUGUCUUCUUUCAAGUAAAAUACCCUUCUUGUAUUUAUAGCAGUUCGGUAUUGAGUCCAAAUAUUACACACCAUGUCCUUUGAACUCAGGUGUUGUUAAACCGGAAAGCACUGCUUCAGAUCAAUGAAGAGAACUUUCUUCGAGAUCUAAGGUUCUUUCUUUCUUCUCAUCUGCGUUUAUCUUAAGCCUCAAGGCAAGUUCAGGGAUAUAUGUAGAUGGAACCAAUGAAGUCAAAGAUUAAGGGGAUGUUUACUCAGGGGGGCAAGGAGGACUUUUAUGUUGGCAGAUGCAAUAUGAAUAUUGUUGAAGAAUGGGAAAUUAGGCCAGGAGGAAUGUUAGUUCAAAAGAGAAAUACUGCUGAUUCCAAUCAUAACUCUGUUCCUGUUUCCAACAUUAAAGUUAGAGUCAAAUGUGGUUCUUCAUGUCAUGAAAUCAGCAUCAGUUCUCAAGCAAGUUUUGGUGAACUGAAAAAAAUGCUUGCGGAACAUACAGGAGUGCACCCACUGGAUCAAAAGCUGAUAUUCAAGAAGAAGGAGAGAAAUUCGAAGGCGUAUUUAGAUGUUGCCGGAGUGAAAGAUGGAUCCAAAAUUGUGUUAAUUGAGGACAUUACCAGCCGCGAAAGGCGUUGUCUUGAGAUGCUCAAAUCUGCUAAGAUAGAAAAGGGUUCGAAGUCAUUGCAACAAGUAAGCUCGGAAGUUGACCAGUUUGGUGAUAAGGUGACAUCCUUGGAAACAACAACUUCUAAGGGAGGAAAAGUAGCAGAGAAAGACGUGGAUGGUUUGACUGAAAUCUUGAUGGCAAAAUUAGUAGCAUUGGAUGGGAUUUUUGUUGAGGGAGACUUGAAGUUGCAGAAGAGAAUGCAGGAAAGGAAAGUUCAGCAGUACAUUGAAGCUCUUGAUAGGCUCAAGUUAAACUAUUCUACUGCCAAUACCAGUGGAGGCAAAAUCCCAUUGCAGCUACAAGAUAAUUCAAUUGGAAAAAUACCAAUACCAACGCAAAAGAAGCCAAUUCAAAACAAUAAAGGAAAAAUCCCAUUGCAGCAGCAAGAUAAUUCAAUAAGGAUAACGCCAAUAACAAAGCAAAAGCAGACAAUUCAAAGCAAUGGAGGCAAAAUCCUAUUGCAGCAACAAGAUCAUUCAACUGGGAAAAUGCCAAUACCAAAGCAAAAACAGUCAGUUCAGUCCAAACAGCAGAAUGCUACAAUGCAAAUGCCAACACAGAAGCAGCAGCGACCAGUGUUGAGUAAUUCCGAGUCUUUUGUGGUGACAACAGCAUGGGAAACUUUUGAUUAAGCUGUGGAGAUAAUGUUUCCACGAGUUCUUGGCUUAAGUGGGAGCAAUUUAAAGAAAAAGACGGUUAACUACGCUUGGAUUUCCAUUUUUCUGUCACUCUUGUUUCUUUACUCAUUCCUUGCUGUUUUAGAUUUAUGAUUUGUUUUUCUUUUUUGAAAAUAAACUAAAUUGGCUCUUAGCAAAUUGUAUACAGAAUAUAGCAGAUUUCUUAUAUGUACCAUAUUAUGUUAUAGAGUAGUUAUAAAUUCGGGCAAGUAGAAUUAUAUUUUGAA